AUAGUGGUAUGUCUCCUUUGUCUAUGGC
rnacentral:sRNA from 1 species